rnacentral:tRNA from 1 species
CCUGAUAGCUCAGUUGGUAAAGAAUCUGUCUGCAAUUCAGGAGACCCAGGUUCAAUUCCUGGGUCAGGA